rnacentral:rRNA from 1 species
AGAGUUUGAUCAUGGCUCAGGACGAACGCUGGCGGCGUGCCUAACACAUGCAAGUCACGGGGGCCCGCAAGGGUAACCGGCGAACGGGUGCGUAACACGUGAGCAAUCUGCCGAUUUCUGGGGGAUAGCCGGUCCAACGACCGGGUAAUACCGCAUACGCUCAUUGGGGGGCAUUCCCCGAUGAGGAAACCUCCGGGGGAAAUCGAGGAGCUCGCGGCCUAUCAGCUAGUUGGUGAGGUAACGGCUCACCAAGGCGACGACGGGUAGCUGGUCUGAGAGGAUGGCCAGCCACAUUGGGACUGCGACACGGCCCAGACUCCUACGGGAGGCAGCAGUGGGGAAUAUUGCGCAAUGGACGAAAGUCUGACGCAGCGACGCCGCGUGUGGGAUGAAGCUUUUCGGAGUGUAAACCACUGUUGCUCGGGACGAACCUCCCCUUUCGAGGGGACUGACGGUACCGAGUGAGGAAGCACCGGCUAACUCUGGGCCAGCAGCCGCGGUAAUACAGAGGGUGCGAGCGUUGUCCGGAAUCACUGGGCGUAAAGGGCGCGUA